rnacentral:rRNA from 1 species
GAUCCUGGCUCAGGAUGAACGCUGGCGGCGUGCUUAAUACAUGCAAGUCGAACGAAGAUAUUUCGCUGAUGCGAUUCGUCAAAUCUUGAAAUAUCUUAGUGGCGGACGGGUGAGUAACGCGUGGGUAACCUGCCUUACACAGGGGGAUAACAGUUAGAAAUGACUGCUAAUACCGCAUAAGCGCACGAGAUCGCAUGAUCAAGUGUGAAAAGAUUUAUCGGUGUAGGAUGGACCCGCGUCUGAUUAGCUAGUUGGUGAGGUAACGGCCCACCCAAGGCGACGAUCAGUAGCCGGCCUGAGAGGGUGAACGGCCACAUUGGGACUGAGACACGGCCCAAACUCCUACGGGAGGCAGCAGUAGGGAAUAUUGGACAAUGGGGGAAACCCUGAUCCCAGCGACGCCGCGUGAGUGAAGAAGUAUUUCGGUACGUAAAGCUCUAUCAGCAGGGAAGAAAAUGACGGUACCUGACUAAGAAGCACCGGCUAAAUACGUGCCAGCAGCCGC